UACGUAGGGUGCGAGCGUUGUCCGGAAUUAUUGGGCGUAAAGAGCUCGUAGGCGGCCUGUCGCGUCGGAUGUGAAAGCCCGGGGCUUAACCCCGGGUCUGCAUUCGAUACGGGCAGGCUAGAGUUCGGUAGGGGAGAUCGGAAUUCCUGGUGUAGCGGUGAAAUGCGCAGAUAUCUGGAGGAACACCGGUGGCGAAGGCGACAUCCUGGACCGGUAUUGACGCUGAGGCGCGAAAGCUAGGGGAGCAAACGGG
rnacentral:rRNA from 1 species